AACGGAGAGGGCAAGUGUUAUUCGUAUUUACUGGGCGUAAAGCGUAUGGAGGUUGUUUAUUAAGUUAUAGAUGAAAGUAGAAUAUUAUGUUUCUAAGAUUUAUAAUACUGAUUUACUAGAGUAUUUUAGAGUAUAGUAGUACUUUAAGUGGAAAGGUAACAUUUUUCAAUAUUUAAAGGACUAACAUUCGACGACGGUUACUGUUCAUAAAAUACUGACACUCAAGUACGAAAGCAUGGGGAGCAAACAGGAUUAGAUA
rnacentral:rRNA from 1 species